rnacentral:lncRNA from 1 species
UGUGGAAUUACAAAUCGGCGUCAGUCCACUAUUGGUACCAAAAGCAAAAGGCAAAAACCCUCCAUCCUCUCUCCAACUUCUCCCCAAUUCUGGCGACGUCUCUUACUAUUCCAAAUCACGGGAAUCCACGACCCCAGUGCACUCGUCACCUCCAACCAUCUCGACACCUCAGGCCAUCUGGUAACAUACACCGUUGAGUAUCGACAAAUUCAUCGCCGUCUCCUGCCUCCAGCCACCGCGAACUCGUCGGCUGACUAUCUUCAGAUCUCCAAUAUCAAUUCCACCAAAUUUCAAAAGAUUAGCUUGACAGUAAGCAUUGUUCGUUAUACUUUAAGAUGCAUGUUGUUUGAUACAUCUUUACGUUGAGAAAUUACGAUUUUCGACACUUUGGUGUAAAUUAACCCUUAUAGAACAUCGAUUUGAACAGUAGGGUUUCACAUUGUUGAAAUGUUUUUACUGUGGACAUUACCCUUCGUAGUUUAAAAUAAGGUUUUAAUUAUGAGAAUUUAUGAAUUUUCAAUGUUUGGUUUAUGUUAAGCCCUUUUUGGUUUGAUUUGGGAAUACACUAUCCUUCAACAAUUAUAAUUUGAGAAGAAUGUAUAGUGCAUUUACGGAUUAUAAGAAACAGGGUAUAUUGCAUAAAAGUUGUAUUUGGUGAAGCCAUUGUCGUUGAGCAAGUGUUCCGAAUGAUUGGUCAUACUUCACAUUUAUCGUUUAACUUUUGUUUUUGGUGUCUGAAUCCCAUGUUAGAAUGCUAGGAAAGAAUUCUGGAGUAUGUCACAGCUGCAGGAGUAAGAUCCACUUCUUUGCCGAAUGCUCGAUAAAAAUCCGAUGCCCAACAUGUAAGCAAGAUUUUCAAAAGUGCUUUGAGGUAGAAAGGGCUACAGCCAACAAAGGUAAAUUCUUCAAAGGGCUUCACAAUUGGUUCUAAUCGAAUCAGUUAACGAUAUGCCCCGCAUAUUUUAGUCGCAAGUUCGGCUUAACCAUGAACAAGAAACCCACAUUUCUAUGAACGUAACGAUCCGUACUGGAAAAUCAAGCACCGAAUGGAGCACCAAAGGCAAGGGGUGGCUUGAGCAGCGGUGGAUUUUUGCUUAGCUAUCUCAAAUUUGGUAUUUAUGUACAAGGAAAAAUGAAUGUCAGUUUGGAGUUUUUCUCAUUUGAACAGCAUUAUCAUUACUUAAUGCUAAACUAUGUGUUGAUGUUAUUCACGUGCUUAACAAUGCAUGCUAAAUCAGUUUCUUUGAAUUUCAUUUGAUGUUUGUCUUUCGCCAAUUUGCAUGGGUAGUUCUAUACAAGCCUAGACAAUUUCAUUUAACC